GAUGAACGCUGGCGGCGUGCUUAACACAUGCAAGUCGAACGAUGAAGCCCAGCUUGCUGGGUGGAUUAGUGGCGAACGGGUGAGUAACACGUGAGUAACCUGCCCUUAACUCUGGGAUAAGCCUGGGAAACUGGGUCUAAUACCGGAUAGGAGCGUCCACCGCAUGGUGGGUGUUGGAUAGAUUUAUCGGUUUUGGAUGGACUCGCGGCCUAUCAGCUUGUUGGUGAGGUAAUGGCUCACCAAGGCGACGACGGGUAGCCGGCCUGAGAGGGUGACCGGCCACACUGGGACUGAGACACGGCCCAGACUCCUACGGGAGGCAGCAGUGGGGAAUAUUGCACAAUGGGCGAAAGCCUGAUGCAGCGACGCCGCGUGAGGGAUGACGGCCUUCGGGUUGUAAACCUCUUUCAGUAGGGAAGAAGCGAAAGUGACGGUACCUGCAGAAGAAGCACCGGCUAACUACGUG
rnacentral:rRNA from 1 species